CACAGGAAAUAUCGCGAUCGCCUAGGUUACCCAUUCGCAAGCCCUCCAUUGGCUCUCCGAGUCUGACUCGGCGGGAGUUUCCGCUAGAUGACAUCACACAGCACAAUUAUCUUGCGCAAGUUACAUCUAAUAUAUGGGGAACGAAGUUCAAAAUUGUGGGGCUUGCAGCAUUUUUGCCAACAAAUCUUGGUGCAGUUAUCUACAAGACAAGUCUGCUUCACCUCCAGCCCAGACAG